rnacentral:misc_RNA from 1 species
AUGUGCCUCGGAUGACCCUUUCCAUCCAAACCUCCUCGCGGGGUUGUUGGAGGAUCUGAAAGUAAUACUUGUGCCCUAUGUUAGUUGUAUGCUUACGAGGCUUUCCUGGGACACAAGUAUGUGCUGUUCUCUUGGAUGCGGUGCAUGCUGCGGACGUGGGUCGGUUGCCCGGUUACGUCCCAUAUAAAAAUUUCGGUUGGCUUGAAUGACGCCUGCGUUCCUGCUUGCUGUUGUUGCCGUUUGUGCGGCGGCAGCACUUGCAGGGUGCGCAAGGUCACGCCAUGGAUGCUACCUGGUUGAUCCUGCCAGUAGUCAU